CAAGUAUCGCCAAUUGAAAACAAUUGUUUUCUUAAGCAAGCAAAUAAAAAACCAUCCAAAACAAGAAUCAGCUGUUGUUCUGCAAAUUGUCACUGGAAGUCGUUCGCGUAUUUUUGCUUGCAAAUUUUUUAAUGAGAGUAAAACGGCUCCUACUCUCCUGCAAAUUUUUACUGGCAAUUUUUUACUGGAAAAGUACGCGAACAUACCUAUAGUUUCGCCAUGUACUGCUAGCAGUUUUAUUGCAGAUGCGAACGUUGCAAUGUGGAGAUAUUUUAGAUCUUGCUUUGGAAGAGAGGAAGUUUUGUACAUGGAUCCUUCUUCACGAACCAUUACUUCACGAAAAAUGAAUGCAAAUGCAAAUUUGCUUCUAUUUUUUCUCUUGUUUACAUGAAAAAGAUGAACAAAACUCAUGCCAGGAAAACAAACUAUUGACGCCGUUAUAGAAAAAUCACUAAAUGGUGGCGCCAUCAUUUCAAUAAACUACAAACACAAAACUGUACUUUUGUCCACUAUUGUUAAACAACAACCUCCCGUUGCCAAUGAUAAUAAACAAUAGUUUUACAUAUUUUAUGCCAAA